UUCCAUGCGCAUUCGAUAAGCUGGCAAUAAAAAGCUGAUUUUUCCGCAAUUGUGGGCUUUUUUGAGCUGCUUAUUUUUACGUAUGGAGAGACAUAGAUUACGAUAUAGAUAGCUUAUUUGGCUAUGCCUUGUAUCGACGUGUCCUUAUUCGUGAUGAAUGCAGAUCUAAGUCCACAUAGUGGUUUGGAUCUGUAUUUUUUAU
rnacentral:ncRNA from 1 species